GAUGAACGCUGGCGGCGUGCUUAACACAUGCAAGUCGAGCGAAGCAGUUAAGUUGAUUUCUUCGGAUUGAUUCUUGACUGACUGAGCGGCGGACGGGUGAGUAACGCGUGGGUGACCUGCCCCAUACCGGGGGAUAACAGCUGGAAACGGCUGCUAAUACCGCAUAAGCGCACAGAGCUGCAUGGCUCGGUGUGAAAAACUCCGGUGGUAUGGGAUGGGCCCGCGUCGGAUUAGGCAGUUGGCGGGGUAACGGCCCACCAAACCGACGAUCAGUAGCCGGCCUGAGAGGGCGACCGGCCACAUUGGGACUGAGACACGGACCAAACUCCUACGGGAGGCAGCAGUGGGGAAUAUUGCACAAUGGGGGAAACCCUGAUGCAGCGACGCCGCGUGAGCGAAGAAGUAUUUCGGUAUGUAAAGCUCUAUCAGCAGGGAAGAUAAUGACGGUACCUGACUAAGAAGCCCCGGCCAACUACGUGCCAGCCGCCGCUGUAA
rnacentral:rRNA from 1 species